AGGAAUGUGAAACAGUUCCAAUAGAAUGUAGCCCCAGAGUAAUAGCUGACAAAAUACAUAAAAGCAUUGCAAAAUAUGGUGAUGGCUGCAGCACUUUCCGGGAUGUGAUGGAGACAGCACGUUCGAUUGUCAUCAGCAAAGAGGCUAAAGGAUCGGAUCUUAAGAAUUUUAAGAUCAAGUGUUAUUGUUGCGACCAUUAUAUCUUGGUGUUCUACACUGGCGAUACGAAAAAAAAAAUCGUGGUUGAAUCUGUUGCAGGAAACGUUGUUGUAACAACCAUUCCUCAAAAUCGGCUAGAGUGGUGUAAGGAAGUGAUUAAAGAUAAUAAAGCAACCAUUUAUAUAUGUUGUGUGGUAGCUGGUGAAUCGGGAGUGCCCUUUGCCGAUCAAGUUGCAACAGUACUCCGGUGUCAUAAUGGUUGAGACAAUCUUUAUUGGAAUGACAAGUGGCUGAUGUAAUAGAGUGUCAACAAAACUUUAUAAAACUCUGCAAUCAUUAAGACUGAUUUGCAUAUAACACACGAACAGACUAUUAUUAUAUUAGACUAUUUCACAUCUACCGCUUGUCGUGCCAGCUAACGACCAAAUGGAAACUAGGCUUUAAAGAGAAAGCAUUUGCGUAGGUCAUCUUUUAAAAAGUGGCCGUUUAAAAUUCUUAUUUUUCAAAAGUGAUUGUCCAUACGGCGGCUGGUAGAUAGGUCUAGGCCGGGCCACUUGUAAAGUGCUAUUUUGUAGUAAACAAAGUUUACUGGAAAACAUGUUAUUUUUGUUAACUUUCGCACUAACUGCAGAGCUUUUUUAACCGACUGGCCUCUGGUCUCGAUAAUUAUAUGUAUAAAAUAGUUCCGGCCAGAAUUUUUUUGGAGUUCCAGCAGGAACUUUAAAAAUUGGUUCUGGUGCACCCCUAUUUUACACAUUACUACAGCAUGGCUUAAUGUCAAUAAUAUAUACUAUGGUGUAAUGUGAAAUAAUGUAAAACUGAUGAAGUACCGUAUGAAUAAAGUUUAAAAUAUGCCUUAUCAUUGCUUUACUGGACAGUCUGUGUUAUGAAUGAGAUGCAAUGAGUAUUCUCCAAAUGGCUUGCCAAUUUUAAUACACUUUCCAAUGUGGGCAAUGAUUGAGCAAUGUCUGCAGGUUGUGGUGUUUCA